rnacentral:misc_RNA from 1 species
UUUCCGUAGGUGAACCUGCGGAAGGAUCAUUACAAAUCCAAAUAACUACCCGUUGAAAUGUUUUCGGCCUUGGGGUGUCAUCGACGUCAUGAUCCAAAUAUACAUGACCUUCGGGUCCGUAUUUGUGAAGUGACAUGAUGAUGCCAGAUGUGCGUUUUUAAAGACGCAUAUUUAAACCAAGGUACCGACCAAUUUAAAUACUUAUUAUGUUGACAUCUUUGUAUAACUCUCUCUUUCUCUCUGCUUUACGGCGGACCGAAAAAAGAGUAAUCAACGAAUACAACUUUUAACAAUGGAUCUCUAGGCUCUU